rnacentral:rRNA from 1 species
UACGUAGGUGGCAAGCGUUAUCCGGAUUUAUUGGGCGUAAAGGGAACGCAGGCGGUCUUUUAAGUCUGAUGUGAAAGCCUUCGGCUUAACCGGAGUAGUGCAUUGGAAACUGGGAGACUUGAGUGCAGAAGGGGAGAGUGGAACUCCAUGUGUAGCGGUGAAAUGCGUAGAUAUAUGGAAGAACACCAGUGGCGAAAGCGGCUCUCUGGUCUGUAACUGACGCUGAGGUUCGAAAGCGUGGGUAGCAAACAGG